AUGGCAUCAUGAGUCCGCAUGUUCACAUGAUUAAAGGUAUUCCGGUAGACGAUGGGGAUGCGUUCCAUUAGAUAGUAGGCGGGGUAACGGCCCACCUAGUCUUCGAUGGAUAGGGGUUCUGAGAGGAAGGUCCCCCACAUUGGAACUGAGACACGGUCCAAACUCCUACGGGAGGCAGCAGUGAGGAAUAUUGGUCAAUGGGCGAGAGCCUGAACCAGCCAAGUAGCGUGAAGGAUGACUGCCCUAUGGGUUGUAAACUUCUUUUAUAAAGGAAUAAAGUCGGGUAUGGAUACCCGUUUGCAUGUACUUUAUGAAUAAGGAUCGGCUAACUCCGUGCCAGCAGCCGCGGUAAUACGGAGGAUCCGAGCGUUAUCCGGAUUUAUUGGGUUUAAAGGGAGCGUAGAUGGAUGUUUAAGUCAGUUGUGAAAGUUUGCGGCUCAACCGUAAAAUUGCAGUUGAUACUGGAUAUCUUGAGUGCAGUUGAGGCAGGCGGAAUUCGUGGUGUAGCGGUGAAAUGCUUAGAUAUCACG
rnacentral:rRNA from 1 species